rnacentral:rRNA from 1 species
UUAAAUUGAAGAGUUUGAUCAUGGCUCAGAUUGAACGCUGGCGGCAGGCUUAACACAUGCAAGUCGAACGGUAACAUGAGUGCUUGCACUUGAUGACGAGUGGCGGACGGGUGAGUAAAGUAUGGGGAUCUGCCGAAUGGAGGGGGACAACAGUUGGAAACGACUGCUAAUACCGCAUAAUGUUGAGAGACCAAAGCAUGGGACCUUCGGGCCAUGCGCCAUUUGAUGAACCCAUAUGGGAUUAGCUAGUUGGUGGGGUAAGGGCUCACCAAGGCGACGAUCUCUAGCUGGUCUGAGAGGAUGACCAGCCACACUGGAACUGAGACACGGUCCAGACUCCUACGGGAGGCAGCAGUGGGGAAUAUUGCACAAUGGGGGGAACCCUGAUGCAGCCAUGCCGCGUGUAUGAAGAAGGCCUUCGGGUUGUAAAGUACUUUCGGUAGUGAGGAAGGUGGUGUAUCUAAUAGGUGCAUCAAUUGACGUUAAUUACAGAAGAAGCACCGGCUAACUCCGUGCCAGCAGCCGCGGUAAUACGGAGGGUGCGAGCGUUAAUCGGAAUGACUGGGCGUAAAGGGCAUGUAGGCGGAUAAUUAAGUUAGGUGUGAAAGCCCUGGGCUCAACCUAGGAAUUGCACUUAAAACUGGUUAUCUGGAGUAUUGUAGAGGAAGGUAGAAUUCCACGUGUAGCGGUGAAAUGCGUAGAGAUGUGGAGGAAUACCGGUGGCGAAGGCGGCCUUCUGGACAGAUACUGACGCUGAGAUGCGAAAGCGUGGGGAGCAAACAGGAUUAGAUACCCUGGUAGUCCACGCUGUAAACGAUGU